AAUGAAUUGAUUUAAUGGCCGCAGUAUUUUGANNGUGCAAAGGUAGCAUAAUCAUUAGUUUCUUAAUUAGAAACUGGAAUGAAUGGUUGGACGAGAAAAUAACUGUCUCUUUAUAAAUUUUUUAGAAUUUUAUUUUUAAGUUAAAAAGCUUAAAUUUUUUUGAAAGACGAGAAGACCCUAUAGAGUUUGAUAUAUUUUAUUUUAAUGAUUUAUGUAGUAAUUUUAAAAUUUUAUAUUUAAAUAUAUUUAAUUGGGGUGAUUAAAAAAUUUAUAAAACUUUUUUUGUAUAAAAACAUUGAUGUAUGAUUUUUUGAUCCAUUAUUUAAUGAUUAUAAGAUUAAAUUACCUUAGGGAUAACAGCGUAAUUUCUUUUUAGAGUUCUAAUCGAUAAAGAAGUUUGCGACCUCGAUGUUGGAUUAAAAUUAAAUUUUGGUGUAGAAGCUAAAAGUUUAGGUCUGUUCGACCUUUAAAAUUUUACAUGAUCUGAGUUUAAACCGGUGUGAGCCAGGUUGGUUUCUAUCUUUAAAUAGAAUAAAUAAUUUAGUACGAAAGGACCAAUUAUUAAUAAAAUUUAU
rnacentral:rRNA from 1 species